rnacentral:miRNA from 1 species
AGAAGAAGAUGAAGAAGAAGAAGAAGAAGAAGAAGAAGAAGAAAGUAUAAAUAUGAUAAAAAACAUUACUCUCACGCAUCAUCAUCUUCUUCUCUUCUUCUUCUUCUUCUUAACUG